CCUACGGGUGGCUGCAGUGGGGAAUAUUGCACAAUGGGGGAAACCCUGAUGCAGCGACGCCGCGUGAGUGAAGAAGUAUUUCGGUAUGUAAAGCUCUAUCAGCAGGGAAGAAAAUGACGGUACCUGAUUAAGAAGCCCCGGCUAACUACGUGCCAGCAGCCGCGGUAAUACGGAGGGGGCAAGCGUUAUCCGGAUUUACUGGGUGUAAAGGGAGCGGAGACGGCAGCACAAGUCUGGAGGGAAAUGCCGGGGCUUAACCCCGGAACCGCUUUGGAAACUGUGCAGCGAGAGUGCAGUAGAGGCAAGUGGAAUUCCUGGUGUAGCGGUGAAAUGCGUAGAUAUUAGGAGGAACACC
rnacentral:rRNA from 1 species